rnacentral:rRNA from 1 species
AUACGGAGGAUCCGAGCGUUAUCCGGAUUUAUUGGGUCUAAAGGGUGCGUAGGUGGUUUGAUAAGUCAGCGGUGAAAGUUUGCAGCUUAACUGUAAAAAUGCCGUUGAAACUGUCGGACUUGAGUGUAAAUGAGGUAGGCGGAAUGCGGGGUGUAGCGGUGAAAUGCAUAGAUAUCACGCAGAACUCCGAUUGCGAAGGCAGCUUACUAAGCUACAACUGACACUGAAGCACGAAAGCGUGGGGAUCAAACAGGAUUAGAUACCCUGGUAGUCCACGCAGUAAACGAUGAUUACUAGCUGUUUGCGAUACACAGUAAGCGGCACAGCGAAAGCGUUAAGUAAUCCACCUGGGGAGUACGCCGGCAACGGUGAAACUCAAAUGAAUUGGCGGGG